AGCGACUUAUAUUCUGUAGCAAGGUUAACCGAAUAGGGGAGCCGGAGGGAAACCGAGUCUUAAUUGGGCGUUAAGUUGCAGGGUAUAGACCCGAAACCCGGUGAUCUAGCCAUGGGCAGGUUGAAGGUUGGGUAACACUAACUGGAGGACCGAACCGACUAAUGUUGAAAAAUUAGCGGAUGACCUGUGGCUGGGGGUGAAAGGCCAAUCAAACCGGGAGAUAGCUGGUUCUCCCCGAAAGCUAUUUAGGUAGCGCCUCGUGAAUUCAUCUCCGGGGGUAGAGCACUGUUUCGGCUAGGGGGCCAUCCCGGCUUACCAACCCGAUGCAAACUGCGAAUACCGGAGAAUGUUAUCACGGGAGACACACGGCGGGUGCUAACGUCCGUCGUGAAGAGGGAAACAACCCAGACCGCCAGCUAAGGUCCCAAAGUCAUAGUUAAGUGGGAAACGAUGUGGGAAGGCCCAGACAGCCAGGAUGUUGGCUUAGAAGCAGCCAUCAUUUAAAGAAAGCGUAAUAGCUCACUGGUCGAGUCGGCCUGCGCGGAAGAUGUAACGGGGCUAAACUAUGCACCGAAGCUGCGGCAGCGACACUAUGUGUUGUUGGGUAGGGGAGCGUUCUGUAAGCCUGUGAAGGUGUGUCGUGAGGCAUGCUGGAGGUAUCAGAAGUGCGAAUGCUGACAUAAGUAACGAUAAAGCGGGUGAAAAGCCCGCUCGCCGGAAGACCAAGGGUUCCUGUCCAACGUUAAUCGGGGCAGGGUGAGUCGACCCCUAAGGCGAGGCCGAAAGGCGUAGUCGAUGGGAAACGGGUUAAUAUUCCCGUACUUGGUGUUACUGCGAAGGGGGGACGGAGAAGGCUAUGUUGGCCGGGCGACGGUUGUCCCGGUUUAAGCGUGUAGGUGUGUGUUCCAGGUAAAUCCGGUUCACUUUAACACUGAGGCGUGAUGACGAGGCACUACGGUGCUGAAGCAACAAAUGCCCUGCUUCCAGGAAAAGCCUCUAAGCAUCAGGUAACAUCAAAUCGUACCCCAAACCGACACAGGUGGUCAGGUAGAGAAUACCAAGGCGCUUGAGAGAACUCGGGUGAAGGAACUAGGCAAAAUGGUGCCGUAACUUCGGGAGAAGGCACGCUGACACGUAGGUGAAGUGAUUUACUCAUGGAGCUGAAGUCAGUCGAAGAUACCAGCUGGCUGCAACUGUUUAUUAAAAACACAGCACUGUGCAAACACGAAAGUGGACGUAUACGGUGUGACGCCUGCCCGGUGCCGGAAGGUUAAUUGAUGGGGUCAGCGCAAGCGAAGCUCCUGAUCGAAGCCCCGGUAAACGGCGGCCGUAACUAUAACGGUCCUAAGGUAGCGAAAUUCCUUGUCGGGUAAGUUCCGACCUGCACGAAUGGCGUAAUGAUGGCCAGGCUGUCUCCACCCGAGACUCAGUGAAAUUGAACUCGCUGUGAAGAUGCAGUGUACCCGCGGCAAGACGGAAAGACCCCGUGAACCUUUACUAUAGCUUGACACUGAACAUUGAGCCUUGAUGUGUAG
rnacentral:rRNA from 1 species